AUUGAACGCUAGCGGGAUGCCUUACACAUGCAAGUCGAACGGAGUGGCGAACGGGUGAGUAAGGUAUCGGAACGUGCCCAGUAGCGGGGGAUAACUAUGCGAAAGCGUAGCUAAUACCGCAUACUAUUGGCGCGGCCGAUAUCGGAUGAGCUAGGGGGAGGGGUAACGGCUCACCAAGGCGACGAUCCGUAGCUGGGUUGAGCGGACGACCAGCCACCGUGAGACUUAGGCAGUGCCCAGACGCCAGCGGGAGGCAGCAGUGGGGAGUUUUGGACCAGGGGGGAAGCCCUGAGCCAGCGAUCCCGCGUGUGCGAAGAAGGCCUUCGGGUUGUAAAGCCCUUUUGGCGGGGAAGCGGUACCUGCAGAAUAAGCACCGGCUAGAUGCGUACCAGCAGCCGCGGUAAUUC
rnacentral:rRNA from 1 species